UGGAGUAUGGCUCAGUGGCAGAGCACUCACCUAGCAUAUGAGAGGUCCUGGAUUUGAUCCCCAGCCCUCUAA
rnacentral:tRNA from 1 species